GGAUAUUGAAUUGGAUGGAUGUGUAGUUCACAUAAUAAGCUGUCUGUGCAUUGGAUAAGGGCAGGAACUCUAAAUGGGCUCCGAUACACCAUGGCCAACCGCUGAAGGUUACAUAUACCAUUCUGAAGUGUGGAUCGUCACCCCUGCCAUUGCUGUGAAUACAAAGAUAAGUGAUAUCAUUUGUAAAGGUCAAAGAUUACGUUAGACAGGUAUGCUUAAAGAGGUAAUUGUGAUGCGAGAUUGUCGUUGACUUUCUUUCGUAAGCAUUACUGCUGUUGGUAUGCAGACAGACAACACUGCCCAUUCGACUUGAUUUAUAGAGCUAGGACAUUUUAACAUUGUUGGCGCUCAAACUUGGGCAAGGCUCCUCAGUUUACAGCGAGGGACACACUUUUUUGCCCGCAAGCGUAAACAUACUGACGUGGGUCGAUGGUGCGAAAGCGAGUCCGAGUCAGCGAAAACAGUAUUAAAACGCCUUAGCUCUGAAAAUCAAGUCUAAUCGAGCUCUGAAAAUCAAGUCUAAUCGAUAGCGUAUUCGUCCUGUUUUCCAACAGCAAUACUGUUUACCAAAGGCAGUUAGUAAGGGUUUGCAUCAUAUUAUCUCUUUAUUUUCAGUGCAGCAGUAUAACGUAAACUCUGAUCUUUUGAUGCAAAUUGACGUAUUCAAAUUUACCUAUAUAUGGUAAUACGUGUUUAUGUUAUUUAUCUGCUACUAAUUUGGAAAAAAUAUAGCACAUGGUCAUUUGGAACACUUAAGUUAUAAACUUUAAUCAAUACAUUUAGAAAAAACAAUAUUGGCGACGUGUUCUUCGCCUGUAUCCAAUAUACUUCGUUUGGUAUCUCUAACAUGUGUUUGUUCAACAGCUGUCCGUGCAUUAGGAUACUGGCAGGAACUUUACAUGGGCCACGAUACACCAUGGCCAACCGCUGAAGUUCACCUAUACCAGACUGAAGUAUGGACCGUCAUCUCUGCCAUUGCUGUUAAUACAAAGAUAAGUGAUAUCAUUUUGUAAAGGUCAAGGAUGACGUUAGACAUGUAUGCUUAAAGAGAUAAUUGUGAUGUGCGAUUGUUGUAGACUUCCUUUGGUAAGCAUUACAGCCGUUGGUUUUCAGAAAGACAACACUGUCCAUUCGACUUGAUUUUAUAGAGCUAGGACGUUUUAACAUCGUUGACGCUCAAACUCGGGCAAGGCUCCUCAGUUUACAGCGAGGGACACACUUUUUUUGCCCGCAAGCGUAAACACACUGACGUGGGUCGAUGGUGCGAAAGCGAGUCCGAGUCAGCUUUUACAGUGUUAACACGCCUUAGCUCUGAAAAUCAAGUCUAAUCGAUAGCUUUUUCGUUCUGUUUUCCAACAACAACACUGUUUACUAAAGGCAGUCAGUAAGGUCUUGCGUCAUUGUAUCUCUUUUUUUAUUGCAGCAGUUUAACGUUAACACUGAUCUUUUGUUGCAAAUGGACGUAUCCUUUUUUUUUCAAUAUAUACGAAUACGUGUUUAUUUGAUUUGUUUUCUUCUUUUAUUGGUUACUCAUGUAUGGUUUUGUUUAGCUGUACACUUGACGUAAUAUUGUCAUCGCCAGAAACAUGUAAAUAAUGUUAACACGUAAAGACAACAAAUAAUGUUGAGAGAACUUUAAAUCCUACCCUUUUUUCAGGUGAGUGGAUUCGAUAUAAAGCUGUGAUAUGUAUAUAUUAUAUCCCUAAAUGGGCAUAUUAUCAGCAAAUGCAGUAUCAUGUUUUCAAAUGAUCUUUUAGUUGGCAUUUAUCUUAAGUGAUUGAUUAUAUAAUAUAUCUCGUUUUAUAUUUACGAGAAAAUAUAUUUACUUUCAAUAUUUAAACUUCGUUCAUCCUGACACUUCCUGUGGGAGUGGGAAAUAUAUUGUUGGUAUUGACCAUGUAUUAAGUAGAGAGAAUACAGUUAUGGUUUUGCGCGUAAAAUGCACGCGUUCCUAGUUUUUGCAUUUAUAUGAGGUAAAUACAUUGAUCUGCUUUUCAAUGUGUGUAUUCAGUGGUGGAAAGAUAUGGAGAAGGAGAAAAAAUCGCUAAUUGAUGAUUUUCAAUAACGUAGCGUUUAAUUUAUUUUAAGGUCAGUUUCCAGUUCGUGUCCGAUGGGACUCUUACACGAUGCGGUUCCACUGCUGAAGAAGUAUGGCGCAACGUUUACGGAUGCCAUGAAGAUUCCUCAAUUUAGCCGAUCCGUGGAGGCUGAACAUCAUUGCAUAUUAAAGAAAUUGUAGCGACUGAAUAAGAUGUUUAUAUUUAUGUGUAAGAACCCCGUUAAAUACAAACACACAUGCCUUAUUUGUCCAUGUAUAUUUACAAUUUAUAAGAAAAUACAUUUUGUUAAAUUAACAAGGAAAAUAAUUAUUUGCAAGAUGAUGAUGAUGGCGAUGUUGGUUGUGGAAAUGGCGAUGGUGGUGUUGAUUGUGGUAAUUGUGGUAGUGGUGGUGAUGGUUGUGAUGGUGGUGAUGGUGAUGAUGGCGGUAAUGAUGGUGAUGAAAGUGAUUUUGGUGUUGAUGGUGGUGUUGAUGGAGAUAUAGGUGGUGAUGAGAGGUUUUAGGGUGAUGGUGGUUGUGAUGGUGGUGAUGGUGAUUGGAAUGGAGGUGAUGAUGGUGGUGGUAUGGGCGAUGACGGCGGUGGUGAUAAUGGAAAUGAUGGUUGUUAUGGAGGUGUUGGUUGUAAUUGUGAUGGUGAUGGCGUUGUUGGCGGUGAUGGUGAUGGAAAUGGCUGUGAUGGUGGUAUUUGUGGUGAUGGUGGUGGAAAUGGUGAUGAAAGUGAGGGUGGUGUUGGUGAUUGUGGUUGUGGAGGUGAUGGUGGUGGUGAUGGAGCUUGUUGUGAUGAUGGUGUUGAAGGUGGCUGUGGUGGGGAUACACUGGUGAUGGUCAUUGAAGUGGUGGUAUUGGUGAUUAUGGUGGUGGUGGUGAUGGUAGUGGUGGUGAUGGUGAUGAUGGUUACGGAAGUUGGGUUGGUGGUGAUGGUGGUGAAAAUUGUGAUAGUGUUGGUGGUGGUGCUGGUAGUGCUUGUGAUUUUAGUGGUGAUGGCGAUGGCGAUGAUAAUGGUGGUGUUUGGAAUGGUGGUGGUGAUGGUGGUGUUGAUUCUAUUGCCGAUGGUUGGGUGGUGGUAGUGAUUGUGAUUGAAGUCGUGGAGGUGGUGAUGGUGGUGUUGGUUGUGAUAAUGGUGUUGAUGGAGAUUAUGGUGGUGAUGGUGGUGGUGAUGGUGGUAGUGAUAGUGAGUUUGUUGAUGGUGGUGAUGAUGGUUAUGGACUAUGGUCGUAUUGUUGACGGUGGUGGUGGUAUUGUAGGAGAAGGUGCUGAUGGUGGUGGUGUUAGUUGUAGUGAUGUUCUCAGGUUACUUUCUGGCCAUCAAACUGUAAUUUUUGCCGUCCAAGCGGUUCUGAGAAUGCUUAUGAGGGCGGGGUUAUCCGGCGACUAUUAUUUUUUUGUUUGACGUCGGUCAAUAAAGUCAGCGUUUACAGCAGAUUGUUUAACAAAUAAUUACAGUUUUACCAUUUACGUAAUAUAAAACGGUAAUUAAUACAGUACAUUAAAGACAAUGUCGGGCAUCAUCCUUUAAACACCUUUAAACUGUAGUUACUUAUGAACAGUUAAAAGCAAAUUUGGGAGUAAUUGAAUUUUUAUGUCGAGUAAGUUGUGAAAACAACAAUUUUUAAGAAUCUACGCGGUAGCAAUUUAAUUCAUACAUGUGUAUUUCGAUUUUCUAUAGCGUUUUGUCGCACUAUUUUCAUCGUAUUGUCGCAUCGUCGCCAUCGUACUAUCGCGUUAUCGCAUUCUCGCCCUCUGGAUUUGAAUGUGUAACCACGAUGGCACUAACGGUAUUCCGUGCGUUAUCAAUAACAGCGUAUACUCUGUUAAUAGGUUGUCCCCAAGAGUAUUUGGACCCAAAGGAGGUUAUGUUAAUAUACUAUCAAACUAAAUUAUAAAAAUUUUAGUUUCGUAUCAAGUGGGUAUAAAUGUAAAAUUGACACAAUUCGUGUUCACUCUUUUCUGAUAUAUUUCGCAUUAAAAGGAUUUUUCAAAGUUUGAUUUUACACAUUGACUACAUAUUUUUUAUGUUACUCAACAAAACCUAUUCAUUUGAAUAUGCAAUUGUUAUGUUGAAUCACUAUUUAAGAGAACUAUUAUGUAACGCCUGCGAGCGAAACAUUUAUGUGUGUCAGGUAGUAAUGUAUCCUUUUAAGUAAGUCCCACUCCAUCUAGCAAAAUGAAGUUUUCCAUAACAUUUAUGUGCCGAACCCAAUAAAGAUGAUCAAACACA